UUAUUUUUUUAAGAGUGUGGAUAAUGGGGCCUCUCAAUCAAAAUCCCAGGCUCCAGUCUGCUCCCCCAUCCCCCUUCCACCCCUCCACCUUCCCCUGCCGCCUGCUCCGAGGAGGAGGAAGACACCAAAGAACGAGGUUUUCCUCUUAAUUAUGAAUCAUUCCUUGAGGGCAGGCCCAGGGCAAGGGGUUCCUGGGGCCCAGAGUCUGACCCGGGAGGUAGCUGGAAGGCUUGAGCCUCUCAUCAAAGGCUCCAGGUCAUUUCCAGUAAGGCCUCAUCCAGAGCCAGGCUGCGGAGAAACACACACACACAUACACACAUACACACACACACACACACACACACACGACCACCCUGACUACAAGUGGAUUUCGAGAGGAAGGGGCCUUGUCUUGCACAUGAAGGGCCUCCCAGUAUGUGCGGCAUGCAAAUUAGUUUUCAGAAAAUGUGACACUAU
rnacentral:lncRNA from 1 species